AAUUUGGGACAAUGGGCGCAAGCCUGAUCCAGUCAUGCCGCGUGAGUGAAGAAUGCAUUCUGGUUNUCAAGCUCUUUCGGACGGAANAAAAUCGCGCAGGCUACUACCCUGCGCGGAUGCCGGUACCGUCCUAAGAAGCACCGGCUAACUACGUGCCAGUCGCCGCGGUAGUACGUAGGGUGCGAGCGUUAAGCGGAAUUACUGGGCGUAAAGCGUGCGCAGGCGGUUGAUAAAGACAGGCGGGAAAUCCCCGGGCUUAACCUGGGAACUGCGCUUGUGACUGGGCAGCUAGAAUACGGCAGAGGGGGGUGGAAUUCCACGAGUAGCUGUGGAAUGCGUAGAGAUGUGGAGGAACACCGAUGGCGAAGGCAGCCCCCUGGGCCGAUACUGACGCUCAUGCACGAAAGCGUGGGUAGCAAACAGG
rnacentral:rRNA from 1 species